GAUGAACGCUGGCGGCGUGCCUAAUACAUGCAAGUCGAGCGAACGGACGAGAAGCUUGCUUCUCUGAUGUUAGCGGCGGACGGGUGAGUAACACGUGGAUAACCUACCCAUAAGACUGGGAUAACUUCGGGAAACCGGGGCUAAUACCGGAUAAUAUUUUGAACCGCAUGGUUCAAAAGUGAAAGACGGUCUUGCUGUCACUUAUGGAUGGAUCCGCGCUGCAUUAGCUAGUUGGUAAGGUAACGGCUUACCAAGGCAACGAUGCAUAGCCGACCUGAGAGGGUGAUCGGCCACACUGGAACUGAGACACGGUCCAGACUCCUACGGGAGGCAGCAGUAGGGAAUCUUCCGCAAUGGGCGAAAGCCUGACGGAGCAACGCCGCGUGAGUGAUGAAGGUCUUCGGAUCGUAAAACUCUGUUAUUAGGGAAGAACAUAUGUGUAAGUAACUGUGCACAUCUUGACGGUACCUAAUCAGAAAGCCACGGCUAACUACGUGCCAGCAGCCGCGGUAAUACGUAGGUGGCAAGCGUUAUCCGGAAUUAUUGGGCGUAAAGCGCGCGUAGGCGGUUUUUUAGUCUGAUGUGAAAGCCCACGGCUCAACCGUGGAGGGUCAUUGGAAACUGGAAAACUUGAGUGCAGAAGAGGAAAGUGGAAUUCCAUGUGUAGCGGUGAAAUGCGCAGAGAUAUGGAGGAACACCAGUGGCGAAGGCGACUUUCUGGUCUGUAACUGACGCUGAUGUGCGAAAGCGUGGGGAUCAAACAGGAUUAGAUACCCUGGUAGUCCACGCCGUAAACGAUGAGUGCUAAGUGUUAGGGGGUUUCCGCCCCUUAGUGCUGCAGCUAACGCAUUAAGCACUCCGCCUGGGGAGUACGACCGCAAGGUUGAAACUCAAAGGAAUUGACGGGGACCCGCACAAGCGGUGGAGCAUGUGGUUUAAUUCGAAGCAACGCGAAGAACCUUACCAAAUCUUGACAUCCUUUGACAACUCUAGAGAUAGAGCCUUCCCCUUCGGGGGACAAAGUGACAGGUGGUGCAUGGUUGUCGUCAGCUCGUGUCGUGAGAUGUUGGGUUAAGUCCCGCAACGAGCGCAACCCUUAAGCUUAGUUGCCAUCAUUAAGUUGGGCACUCUAAGUUGACUGCCGGUGACAAACCGGAGGAAGGUGGGGAUGACGUCAAAUCAUCAUGCCCCUUAUGAUUUGGGCUACACACGUGCUACAAUGGACAAUACAAAGGGCAGCGAAACCGCGAGGUCAAGCAAAUCCCAUAAAGUUGUUCUCAGUUCGGAUUGUAGUCUGCAACUCGACUACAUGAAGCUGGAAUCGCUAGUAAUCGUAGAUCAGCAUGCUACGGUGAAUACGUUCCCGGGUCU
rnacentral:rRNA from 1 species